rnacentral:misc_RNA from 1 species
GGUAAAGCAGAUACGGCUGUGGCUAAAAGUCUUAAUAAAGAGUUCGGACCUGUCAUGAAAGAACACAUGCAGUAUAUAAUUGACCACGCUGACGAGAUUGAGAAACUACUAAAAGUUAAAGCCCAAGUGUCUGAAGUCAAAAGUAUUAUGUUGGAGAAUAUUGACAAGGCCAUUGAAAGAGGGGAAGACUUGACUAUACUAUCUGGCAAGACUGAGAACCUGCGUGAUUCGGCCCUUGAAUUCAAGACAAAGGGGACUCAAAUACGGCGGAAGAUGUGGUAUCAGAAUAUGAAAAUAAAGUUGGUUGUGUUUGGCAUCAUCCUGCUAUUGGUUCUUAUAAUCUGGCUUUCAAUUUGUCGUGGCUUCAAUUGCACGAACUAGCAUAUCAAUGCACACAGUUGGGACCGAAUUCAUACACAUGUGGACUGACAGGAUCCAAACAGGCACAUCUGAGGAGGAAUUUGCCAUGAAGAAAGUAAAGCAUCUAUAUGGCCUUUGUUUCAGAAACCUUUUAGAAAAACCAGAAAAAAACAUUCUUUUUUCCUGUGUUAUUUUCUUAUAGAUUCUUAGAGCAGUGUGAAUGUCUUUUUAUUAGUGUGUUUGUUUUCGGGGAGGCCUCGGCGGGGUGGAGGGUUGCAGGCAGUGGAUAUAAGCUUAAAAUUGUGUAUUCUGUGCUGUGUAUAUUGUAGACAUGCUAGAUAUCUA